CCUACGGGGGGCAGCAGUGAGGAAUAUUGGUCAAUGGGAGAGAUCCUGAACCAGCCAAGCCGCGUGAGGGAAGACGGCCCUAUGGGUUGUAAACCUCUUUUGUCGGAGAACAAAACCCGGGACGUGUCCCGGACUGCGUGUAUCCGAAGAAAAAGCAUCGGCUAACUCAGUGCCAGCAGCCGCGGUAAGACGGAGGAUGCGAGCGUUAUCCGGAUUUAGUGGGUUUAAAGGGUGCGUAGGCGGUCCGUUAAGUCAGCGGUAAAAUUGCGGGGCUCAACCCCGUCGAGCCGUUGAAACUGGCAGACUUGAGUUGGCGAGAAGUACGCGGAAUGCGCGGUGUAGCGGUGAAAUGCAUAGAUAUCGCGCAGAACUCCGAUUGCGAAGGCAGCGUACCGGCGCCAGACUGACGCUGAGGCACGAAAGCGUGGGGAGCGAACAGGAUUAGAUACCCCUGUAGUC
rnacentral:rRNA from 1 species